AUAAUAAUAAUAACCAUUCGCCAACUAUCGUCUUGACUAUCGCCAUGAAAGCCUGCCAUUGGCGAUAUGUCUGAAGAUCGUCGAUACACGAUACUAUCGUCUAUCGGCACAACCCUAUUACACACAGUACAAGGAGUCAGACUGGCAUAUGAGGAGCAAAGGAACCCAGGCAGUAGCAUCGUUUCACAAUGUUUCAAUCACCAUCAUCAGUGGAUGCCUUUGCCGUCCGUACCCUGAGAUUUCAGAUUUGCAGCAAAAAAUUUGACUUUCCCAUUUAUUGGAAUGCUGUGCAGGUUGUACCUUGCAGCCAUCCAUUACAAUGUCACCAAGCCGUAACAAAAGCAGGAGAGGGAAAGUACAAGGCUAUGUUCCCAAAACACACAAGUGACAUACCGUAAGCAGUAAUGUUUUAUUUCAAAUACAUUCAUAAUUAAAAAAUUACUGUUUUAAUGUAUGAAGCAG